rnacentral:lncRNA from 1 species
GUGUAUUUUGGUACUCUCGAUGUUUUUUUCCCAAUAAGAUUUACUCAGUGUUUAUUUUAAAGCUUGAAGAUGGCACUUUUAAGAUUUAUCAAAAUAGCUAAAUAUAAAAUGUCCAUUUAAGUCUUUUACCAAUUUUUCUUAACCUGUUUUGAUCUACGGUCAAGAUCAUUGUACAUUGCGAAAGUUCAAAACCUUUUGAAAUAAACACUUCG